rnacentral:lncRNA from 1 species
AUGGUGUAAUUAUUCUAUGCAUAUGAAAUUCUAUAUUUGUGCGUGAUAUUUUGAUUCUCAAAUUUUAAUUUAGUAUAAUUUUUAAUGCUUGAAAGUUUGGAUUAAAUAGUGAUUCGAAAAUAUUAAUGUCAUAAAUAUUUAAUUAUUAUUUUUAAUUAUAUUAUAUAGAAAUAUGUAUUCAUUAUUAUUUUAAUUUUAUAUUUAAUUAUAAAAUACUGAUUUUUUGACCAAGUUAAAUAGAUAUAAGUUUUUACGUUUCACCUUUUAUAAGACUAAUCUGCACUAAUAGAAAUUAAAAUCAGGUAAUUGAUUUAAGUCAGUUAGAUUUUAAUAUAACCUGAUCAAAAAAGUUUGGCCGGUUUGAUUAAAAAUAUUCAAGUUUACUAGUUUGAUGGUUGAAUCAUUAGUUUUUAAACAAUUUAAAGUGAUUUUUUGACUUAGCCAGUUUAAAGAUUUGAACUUAACCGCUUUAUAGACUGGAUUAUAGUCAAACGAAAUGAUCAGGCAGAUUUGACUCGAUUUUUAAAUCAAUAAUAAUUCUUUGACUUGAACUUUGCAAAUUAUUGUAAUCAAUUCUGACAGCCUAAUUUAGUUUGACUAAAAAUUAAUAUUUUACUUACGUAGAAUCGAUAUGGCAUCUUAAUUAUUAUUUUGUCAUUAAUCACAAUACUGCUGUAUCACUUCUACAGUUCUACCAUAGCGAGAAAUUAAUAUUUAGCCAACUAAAAAUGCUGUAAGAUUUAAUUAUAACAAUUUACGAAGUUCAAACUAAAAAUUAUUGCAAAUUAAAAUUUGAGGACUAAGUGUUAUGCACUUUAUAAUUUGGGGACCAAAAGAAUAAUUUAGUAAUAUGUGGUUUAAAGUAUAUCACAUAGCUAGUUUUGUUUUUAUCAUUUUGUUACCCCCUAUGUUAACUUUUCUGUUAAACUAAUGGUAAAGUUAAAAUCAUAUGAUACUAAAAUAAAAAAUCGGUAAACCACAAAAUGGGUGUUCGAAGUUUUUUUUUUUUUUUAAUGUGCUUUAAAGGAAAAAUUAAUAGACGGAUUAAUGAAAAAAGAAAAAUAAAACCAGAUGAUGUUAAAGGGAUAUAAUUUAAGCUUCAAAGUAGUAACGUUUGAAAGCAUUAAAGUAGAGGGGUAUUUAAAGUUUUUUCUAAAAAAUAUUACCAUAAAUAAACAGAGUGAGGCUACUAUGCUAUCGGAAGCACGGAGCCUUCCGUGCUUCCAGCUCGUUUUCGAUGUUGCGACUUUCGAAUCGUCAAUCGGCUCCGUUAAACUUGAUCUAGAGUAUUUGAAAUACCUAGAAAAUAAAUUUUAUGAUUUUACGAUAUCAUUUGCCUAGUGAACGAAGGGGUUCAAAAUCAACAACUGAAAAUAAAAAUCUUACAAAAUAUAAUAAUAUGACAUUAAAAUUUUAAAUCAAAGAUAUUGAUCUUGUUUUAUAUAGUAUAAAGAAUUUUCUAUCAAAAUUUCACAUGAUUUGAAUAUUUCUACACCGUUAAACUUGCAAACGGCUCACUACGGCCAUUGAAAUUUGUUGAUUUUGAGCCCAUUCGAUUACUAGACAAAUGAUAUCGAAAAAUAAUAAAAUUUAUUUUCUAGGUACUCCAAAUACUCUAGAUCAAGUUUAAGCCGAUCAACGAUUCAAAAGUCGCAAUAUCGAAAACGAACUGAAAGCACGGAAGGCUCUAUGCUUCGGAUAGCAUAGUAGCCUCACUCUAAAUAAACAUAGCAUAUAUCAAGAAAAUAUUUAGAAACAGGUCUUAUUAAUACAUUGACUAA